UUUACCCAAGAGAAAUGAAGACAUAUGUUCAAGAAAAGACUGGUACAGGAAUGUUCCUGGCAGCCUUCCUCCUAAGAACCCCAAAUGCGAAACAACCUGGUAGGCAAACAGCCGCCGGCGUGCCGAGACAACACAGCGGCACCGGGAAAAGGGACCGAUCACAGAUACACGCGAUGCCACGGACCACGGAUGUGUCAGAAACAUGACGACGAGUGGAAGAAGUGUUGCCAACAAAACCUACCGUGGGGUUCGACUUACAUGGGGUCCUAAAACUGGCAAAAUAACCUCUGGUGGGAAAGCAAGCGGAACGCCAGGGACUGAUUGGGAAGAGGCCUGGGGGAACUUGCCGGUUGCCGGUCAUACAUCUUGACUGGAGCCUGGUUUGGUCGGCAGAUGCACCUGCGGCCGUUAAUACACACAUUUCCUGGAGUCGUGGCCCAGAGGACGCUUCGCAGAUGCCCACACGCAAACCAACCAUCUGCGCGGCCCGAUAAACAGAACACUCUGAGUCAGAAGGCCUGGGCUGGGGCCCAAGAGUGUGUAUUUCUAACGAGCUCCAGACGCUGCCGCGGCCGGUCCUCAGGCUGCUCCGAGAGGAGCGAGGACUUCAGACUAUUCCCUACGGACAAAGGUAAUUCAUAUAUCGGGACCCACAAAAUGGCCGCGGGCCCCCCUCCCCACCCCGGGGCCUGGGCCCAUGUCACCAGUCUAAACCUACGUCAGGCGGCACUGCACCGGAAGUGCGUCACUGUCAGGAAUCCUAACGCACCAAUCACAAUCCUCCAACUCAGGGGUGGCUGGCUGACCUCACCCUGGGAAAUAGGGCCCGCCUGAUUUUAAGGGAAUCCGCCGACUCAUAGCCAGUCACACGGUGUUUCCAUGAAAACCUCUUGCCCCACGUCCGUCAGAAAGCCUGCCUCACGUUUGUGAGGCUCUGUACUCCCCCAUCCAUGGACUGUUUUCCC
rnacentral:lncRNA from 1 species